GACACAUUCUUCUCUUUCUAGGUGAACUCCUCAUAGAACAGGAGUGGGAAGUUUAAAAGAAAUUAGUUUGCCACUAAUGAACUUCAGUACUGAUGUCUGGAACAACAGAGAGACCUGCUUUAUAACACCAACAGUCACAUCUUCCUACCCCCUGAACCAAUUGAGAAUUUUGCUAUCAAUGCCAGGCUUAUUAACCCUAAGUCUUUUAUAUGGUUUUGUAUGGGGAAAGACAAAAAAAGAAGAAAAAAGCCUCGUGGAAGUCCAAGUCAAUUAUGUCUGCUGCCUCAGCCUGUCAGCUCUCAUCAUCACCUCCACUCCAAGGAGUUAA
rnacentral:lncRNA from 1 species